UACGUAAGUGGCGAGCGUUAUCCGGAAUUACUGGGCGUAAAGCGUGCGUAGGCGGUUUAGUGUGUGGGAAUUGAAAGCCCGGGGCUCAACUCCGGAUCCGGUUCCCAAACUGCUAGACUCGAGCAUAUCAGAGGACAGUGGAAUUCCCGGUGUAGCGGUAAUAUGCGUAGAUACCGGGAGGAACACCAGUGGCGAAGGCGACUGUCUGGGGUAUUGCUGACGCUGAGGCACGAAAGCCAGGGGAGCGAACGGG
rnacentral:rRNA from 1 species